GGGAAUAGGCCUCCAAGCAUGUAAUUUAUGGGUAUGGUCUUUUUGGAAAUGCCAGGGGCCACCAACAUUAACUGGGCAUUGUGCUGUCAGCAUGUCACCAGCGCCAUCAUCUAGCAUCGCCAGAGAUUUGUCACUGUUUUUCUCUCCUACCACCACCUCAGUGUUUGUACAGCAGGCAACAGUGGGAUAUGUGGGGGUGGCUGUUAGCCAUAGGACGAGGGACAGAAGUGGGGGUGCUAUGGUAGACACAGAAAAUAGCACCCAGAAGAGUUAGCUUACGCCCUGCAUCAACCAAGAGUGUGGGGGCCCUGUCUCCUGAAGGACUGAUGCGAUGCAGUCUUUGGUCACAGCUGCUGAGACAGGGAGUGGGUGCAUCCAUGUGGCUGCAUGAAGAUGCCAAAUUGCUUCCUGGUACAUGGGCCAGGAUUGCAUGAGUAGAAACAGUCCUGUCAGUUAUGACUCUCCAGCUUGACCAGAGGGUGAAGUCUCAAUGGCUCCUCAAUGGCUCCUCAAGGCCACCUGGGUUCUUGGUCCCUUGGGUAAGGAAGGCUAUUAUAGGAAGGUAAAGGCUGAGGUAUCAGGGCUUCUUGGUAGUUGAAGAUAAGGGUGUGCAGUAUAACCAGUCUACUCUUGCUUGGAUCUCAGUGACUAAGCUAAAGGCAAGGACUUCGUUUUGCUUGUAUUGGAUAGCACCCAUGGGUGCUGAGUUAAAAGUUAACCAAGCUUGCAAAUAAGGGUUAUCUGUUGGUCUCUGGCAUGGACAUCGGGGCAAAGGCUUUCUGCACUGCUGCCCUCAGUCUCCACACUCAUUCUAUACGGGCUCGGAAGGAGUUGAUACCCUGUCACUGGUCCUGUUCAGUGUAUAGAGAAGUAGGAGGACAGGAUUUAAGUAACGCAGGGCAUCGUUGCUCCAGGUGGAUCUUUGCUGUGGGUGUGGCAAGCAGCGCCGUAGUGUAGACAGAGCCGGAGAUUAGGAACCAGACCUUCUGGAAUCAACUGUGGGCUUCUCACCUCGCAGUGUAACACCCGAGGGGGCAGUUCAUUGCUUGAGCUUCACUUUCCUACCCUCUACCAUCACCGGAGUGCUCUGCCCUUGCUGUGUCACGAGGACCGAAGGAGACAGUACAGUCCUACAGUUGUUGGGUAGCUAAGACUCUUGGGGUGACCCAGCCUCCAAGGAGCCGAGGUCUUGAGAAUCAACUGCCUUCAGUUCAUGAAACCAUGUCAGCCUCCGAGCUGGGAACAAGAGAAAGAAUCUAGUGUGGAUCCCACAUCAGCUGGAUAAGGAAACCAAAGUCCGGAAGGCUCCACCCUGCAGCCCCGUGGCCACUUAUCCAUCCUUAGAAACAUAUAUGCAUGCACAUAUCCAGUUGUGAUGUAUUUACCGGGUAUACACACUCCAGUUUCAGGAGACCCAGCUUCCUCUUCUGGCAUCUGAAGGUACCAGACACACACGUGAUAACAUCCUGCAUCUGCUGGGAAGUGAUGCCUGCUGCCAUUCAUGAUUCACCUGCCAGAGGAUUGCCACCCCUAACUGCAAGCAGGCAAGGAGCAGCAGACUCCUCUGGGCCUUUGGGAAAUGAGUUAUGGAAAUACUGCGAGCCCUCAUGAUUGCUCAUUACACCAAGAAAGCUACAGCCCUUACAUUAAAGCUCCGAGGCCAAGCAGGUCCUGCCCAGCCACGUGGCUUGUAAAUAGGGAGAUGUGAGAUUUCAACUGGAAAGUCUGAUUGCAAAGCCUUUGCUAUUUCCUGUCACCCAGGAUCCCUUGCCUCACACAUGACUACUGUAUUUCAUGACAGGGAACUGCAGUCAGAGGACGGGCGACAAAUGCGCUGCAGCCUGUGAGGGGCUGGACGCCACAGCUUGUGAGAGAAAGCCCUGCUGGGGCUCAUCUCUAGAUCUUGAAGAGGCCAGAUUUGGAUAUUGAGAGAUGUUUAUUCUUUCGGUCGUUCCCCCAUCGGUUGCCUGGAUGCAGGCCUCUCACAAGGAGCCAGUUUCUACACUGGUCCUGAGCCAAUCCUGGGAAGGGGCCAUCCCUGUGUGGGCUACAGUUUCCUUCUGGAUGCUUCCUUUAAUGUGACAGGAGAUUGCUGUCUGAGUUGGUGUCAGAUGCCUGGAUUCAAGCCUCUGCUUUUGAAAUAGUGGGAUUCUAGCCACCCACCACUCACCAGGCUCCUGCACCAUUUUAUGACAGACAGAAGUGAAUCGUUCUUCUCUUGACCCGCACUUUUGCUGAACUGUAAGCCCCAUGAGGACAACCUCUCAUUCCCAGCUGAAUCCUGACAGCACACAGUGACGGGUAAAAGUGAGCGACCCAGUGAGCCACAGAUAGACACAUGGAUGCACACAUGUCAACACGCUUCUGCUCUGUUUUCUUUGAAAGUUCAAUUGUUCUGUGUGCCUUGGGGAUGUGAGGAGCAAGAACUGAGAGGGCUGCCAACAGGAAAGCGUGAUGUCUGUGGAAAGGACAACUGAGAGCGAAAGACACCCUUUGGGAAGAUAGGAGGUUGGCCCUUCCUGGCGACCUGCCCACAAAAGCUUCUUUGGGAGAGAAUGAAGCUCUUGCAAGCAGGUGACAUGGGGAUCCCAGAGCUGGGAUAGAGACAGUGCAGGAAUGAGAGUGGAAAGUACCGUCUUUCCAGAAACAACAACAACAAAAAGCCCUUUAGGGUUACUCGAUAUCAUGUCUUCCUGCCCUGGACCACUGCUAAGCAUCCCUCUUUUUAUUGUGGACAAACAUCAACAACACAGACCUGCAUCUGCUCCUGAUGGGGAAGGAGGCAAGUGGGUGUGGAGCAAUGGACAGGGCAGGCUUAUGGCCGGAGUACGCCCAUUAACCAAGGAAUUGUUAUUUGCUUUUCUAAUACCUAUCACAUCUCACACUCUGAAGUCACAAAGCAUGGAGACAAAAGUCAAACGUAUUAUGAAAUGUGCCUUUCUCCCGUCACUCCCCCCUCUCCCUACAUUCAUCUCGUUGCCCUUACUGAUGUUCUCAGCUUUUCAGGAUGGCUUGGAAUGGAACGUUUAAGCAUAUUCAACUGGAGGAAUCCAGCACAGAGUCCCACAAACACUGCUUGUACCCUGCUGUGUUCACUUAAUGAUAUUUUCUAUGAGAGUCUGUGACAGUGUCUUUGGUUGGGUUCUGUUUGUUGGUUUCACAGUGUCUCCCCAUGUGCUGGGAGCAAGGCCCUAAUAUCUGAGGAGUCAGGCUUCAGACUUUCAGGGAGCCUUUUCUUGUUGUAGUAGCAGAGAGUAUUGAGGUAUGAUGGAACGUGAAGGAACAUCAGGCCUGUACCGCCGAGCAUCGUUACCGCUAACCACACAGCAAUUGCCACAUGAAAUGUGCCUGGUCCAGUCAAGACUGGCUUACAAAGGUAAAAUGCAAACUAGACUUUGAAGGUUUAAUUUUAAAAGGUAAACCGUCUUAUUCAAUACUUUUAAAAAACAUUUAUUGCAAGUCAAAUUGUAUUUUAAAUAUA